UGCCUUAAAGUGUUGCCUGUUCAUUGCUGGUCAGAUGAAUGUGGUGUCAACUAGGGCAGAUAUUAAUACAUGGGGUGGCUGCUGAAAGGUGUUUACAUCUGUGCCUUUCAAAAGUUUAAUCUCAUGGACAUCA
rnacentral:snoRNA from 1 species